UUAUUGACGGGGUGCAGCAGGCGCGAAACCUCCGCAACGCGAGCAAUCGCGACGGGGGAAACCCAAGUACCACUCUUAACGGGGUGGUUUUUCUGAAGAGUAAAAAGCUUCAGGAAUAAGAGCUGGGCAAGACCGGUGCCAGCCGCCGCGGUAACACCGGCAGCCCGAGUGGUGGCCGUUAUUAUUGGGCCUAAAGCGUCCGUAGCCGGCUGAGUAGACGCCUGUGUAAAUCGAACGGCUCAACCGUUCGAAUUGCGGGUAGACCGCUCGGCUUGGGACCGGGAGAGCCUCGAGGUACUCCAGGGGUAGAGGUGAAAUUCUGUAAUCCUUGGGGGACCACCGGUGGCGAAGGCGUCGAGGUUGAACGGCUCCGACGGUGAGGGACGAAGCCCUGGGGCGCAAACCGGAUUAGAUACCCGGGUAGUCCAGGGUGUAAACGCUGUGGGCUUGGUGUCGGGAGUCCUACGAGGGCACCCGGUGCCGGAGAGAAGUUGUUAAGCCCACCGCCUGGGGAGUACGGCCGCAAGGUUGAAACUUAAAGGAAUUGGCGGGGGAGCACGU
rnacentral:rRNA from 1 species